UUGACCUCGAAUCAGGUAGGAAUACCCGCUGAACUUAAGCA
rnacentral:rRNA from 3 species